rnacentral:rRNA from 1 species
UACAGAGGGGGCAAGCGUUGUUCGGAAUUACUGGGCGUAAAGGGCGCGUAGGCGGCCGCCUAAGUCAGACGUGAAAUCCCUCGGCUCAACCGGGGAACUGCAUCCGAUACUGGAUGGCUUGAAUCCGGGAGAGGGAUGCAGAAUUCCAGGUGUAGCGGUGAAAUGCGUAGAUAUCUGGAGGAAUACCGGUGGCGAAGGCGGCAUCCUGGACCGGCAUUGACGCUGAGGAGCGAAAGCUAGGGGAGCAAACGGG